rnacentral:rRNA from 1 species
GUGGGGAAUAUUGGACAAUGGGCGCAAGCCUGAUCCAGCCAUGCCGCGUGUGUGAAGAAGGCCUUCGGGUUGUAAAGCACUUUCAGCGAGGAGGAAGGGAUGUAUGUUAAUAGCAUGCAUUUUUGACGUUACUCGCAGAAGAAGCACCGGCUAACUCUGUGCCAGCAGCCGCGGUAAUACAGAGGGUGCAAGCGUUAAUCGGAAUUACUGGGCGUAAAGCGCACGUAGGCGGUUGUUUAAGUUGGAUGUGAAAGCCCCGGGCUCAACCUGGGAAUUGCAUUCAAAACUGGACAACUAGAGUGUGUGAGAGGGGGGUAGAAUUCCAAGUGUAGCGGUGAAAUGCGUAGAGAUUUGGAGGAAUACCAGUGGCGAAGGCGGCCCCCUGGCACAACACUGACGCUCAGGUGCGAAAGCGUGGGGAGCAA